rnacentral:rRNA from 1 species
CCUACGGGAGGCAGCAGUGGGGAAUAUUGCACAAUGGGCGAAAGCCUGAUGCAGCAACGCCGCGUGAGUGAUGAAGGCCUUCGGGUCGUAAAGCUCUGUCCUCAAGGAAGAUAAUGACGGUACCUGAGUAGGAAGCCCCGGCUAACUACGUGCCAGCAGCCGCGGUAAUACGUAGGGGGCUAGCGUUAUCCGGAAUUACUGGGAGAAAAGGGUGCGUAGGUGGAUACUAAAGUCAGAGUUGAAAGGCUACGUCUAAACCGUAGUAAGCCUUUGAAACUGGGAAACUUGAGUGCAGGAGAGGAGAGUGGAAUUCCUAGUGUAGCGGUGAAAUGCGUAGAUAUUAGGAGGAACACCAGUUGCGAAGGCGGCUCUCUGGACUGUAACUGACACUGAGGCACGAAAGCGUGGGGAGCAAACAGGAUUAGAUACCCCAGUAGUC